rnacentral:rRNA from 1 species
CUGGUGGCCUUUUGGCCAUUMGAGUUGUAAUUUAGAGAAGCGUCUUCCGCGCUGGACCGUGCACAAGUCUCCUGGAAUGGGGCGUCAUAGAGGGUGAGAAUCCCGUCUUUGGCACGGAAUCCCAGGGCUUUUGUGAUGCGCUCUCGACGAGUCGAGUUGUUUGGGAAUGCAGCUCARAAUGGRUGGUGAACUCCAUCUAAAGCUAAAUAUUGGCGAGAGACCGAUAGCGAACAAGUACCGUGAGGGAAAGAUGAAAAGCACUUUGGAAAGAGAGUGAAACAGUACGUGAAAUUGUUGAAAGGGAAACGCUUGAAGUCAGUCACGUCAACUGAGACUCAGCCUUGCCUCGGCUUGGUGUACUUCUCGGCUGACGGGUCAGCAUCAAUUUCGAUCCUUGGAUAAUGGCAAGGGAAAGGUGGCACCUUUUUAGGUGUGUUAUAGUCCUCUGUCGCAUACAGGGAUCGGGAUUGAGGAACUCAGCAUGCACCUUUUGGUGUCGGGGCCUCGGUCCACGUUACGUGCUUAGGAUGCUGGCAUAAUGGCUUUAAACGACCCGUCUUGAAACACGGACCAAGGAGUCUAACAUACCCGCGAGUGCUCGGGUGGAAAACCCGUGCGCGUAAUGAAAGUAAAAGUUGGGACCUCUGUCGUGGAGGGCACCGACGCCCGGACCAGACCUUCUGUGACGGCUCUGCGGUAGAGCGUGUAUGUUGGGACCCGAAAGAUGGUGAACUAUGCCUGAAUAGGGUGAAGCCAGARGAAACUCUGGUGGAGGCUCGUAGCGAUUCUGACGUGCAAAUCGAUCGUCAAUUUGGGGUAU